CUCAAAUCAGGUAGGACUACCCGCUGAACUUAAGCAUAUCAAUAAGCGGAGGAAAAGAAACCAACAGGGAUUACCUUAGUAACGGCGAGUGAAGCGGUAAGAGCUCAAAUUUGAAAUCUGGCACUUUUAGUGUCCGAGUUGUAAUUUGAAGAAGGUAACUUUGGGAUUGGCUCUUGUCUAUGUUCCUUGGAACAGGACGUCACAGAGGGUGAGAAUCCCGUGCGAUGAGAUGCCCAAUCCUAUGUAAAGUGCUUUCGAAGAGUCGAGUUGUUUGGGAAUGCAGCUCUAAGUGGGUGGUAAAUUCCAUCUAAAGCUAAAUAUUGGCGAGAGACCGAUAGCGAACAAGUACAGUGAUGGAAAGAUGAAAAGAACUUUGAAAAGAGAGUGAAAAAGUACGUGAAAUUGUUGAAAGGGAAGGGCUUGAGAUCAGACUUGGUGUUUUGUGUACAUUUUCCUUCUUGGAUUGUGCUUUCGCAUUACUACCGGGCCAGCAUCGGUUUGGGUGGUAGGAUAAUGACAUUGGAACGUGGCUCUACUUCGGUGGAGUGUUAUAGCCUUUGUUGAUGCUGCCUACCUAGACCGAGGACUGCGUCUUUUGACUAGGAUGCUGGCGUAAUGAUCUUAAGCCGCCCGUCUUGUAACACGGACCAAGGAGUCUAACAUAUGUGCAAGUACGUCAGUGGCAAACUGAUAUGCGUAAUGAAAGUAACAGUGGUAGGAAGCUUCGGCUGCACUAUCCGCCGGCCAACAUCCUUCGGGAGAAAGGUCUGAGUGUGAGCAUACAUGUUGGGACCCGAAAGAUGGUGAACUAUGCCUGAGU
rnacentral:rRNA from 14 species